CUAAUCGCACAGCAACAUAAUUAAUUCUUAAUUCUACAUGCAAUAAAAACGGUUUAAAUGAUAAGGUAUUGUAUAUAUAUAAUGCAUGUCAUUAUACUGAACACUUAAUUCAGUUAAUUUGAUCAAAACAUUCACAAUGAAGUUCUUCUACGUUCUUGCCGUCAUAAUACUUGGACUCCUGACCAUCAGCUCAGCCCAGUUUUGCCCCGCCCUGUGGGACCCAGUCUGUGCUACCAAUGGCAAAACUUACUCGAACUUAUGCGUGCUACAGGUAGCCGGUGCAGAAUUCGCAUACAAAGGUGAAUGCGGUGCAAAUGUAUAGUCAUUUUAUUAAUUAAAAAAAAUAAAAACAUGAAGCCAUAAUGAAA